CUGAAAACAGUUGCUAUGUCCUGUUGCCAUGACAACCCACUCAGGAAAGUACCUAGGUGCCAGACUUAGAUGUUUUUUUUUUUUUUUUUUUUCUUUUUGGGUCCCAGAGGAGUACCAGAGUGAGUUCAUAACUCUUUUAUUGCUACCUGGAGAGAAGCCUUUCCCACUCAGUGUGGCAUCCAAUGGCAGAUCAACACUCUUGGAAUGAGCAUCUGCUCCUUUCUGCAGAGGAAACAUUUGUACUGUUCAAAUGGUUGGACUAUGAGUCACAGAUUAAGCAUAAGGGACUUUUCUGAAUGAUGCCGAGCAAGGCCAUAAUUAAAAGAGAGGAAGAAGUUCUGGUGCUCUGGCUUUCCUUGCAGUAAAUUUGGAGUUUGGAGAAAGAAUCCUCUGAAGAGCUAAAGCAUCUCUUGCCCGGGAAGAGGUACUCAAAGGAAGAGCAUUAUUGAACUGCACUGUUUUCUCCUGUCUGAAGCUAACCCCAGCAUGCCUAGUAGGAAAACUGCUGGGGAUUAUGGCUGGGACUUGGCAGAGGAUGGAGGAGCAGAAUUGUGUAGCUGCAUGGAUCAUUCACCAGCCCAAUUCCCUCUUGUCAGUAUGCUAAUAUGCACCUCUUGGAACUUCUAUGCUCCGAUAAUACAGCCAACACAGGAGAAUGGCAGAAGAGCAGAGCUGGAGGCCUUCCCUUCCUUCCACUUCUGGAGGACUGUGUCAGUGCCAGAUUUUGUGUUGGUUGCCAGUGAUUCAAGAUUGAACAAUGUACAGACAGUCCCACCUUUAAGGCAUUAUAUGAUCAAGACCUUGAUUCACACAUAAAAGCUUCCCCCCAAAUGGGGUAAUCAUUCCUAAAAGAGAGAAAGUGGAGGAAUAAAGCCUUCACCGAAAUAUUAUACCA
rnacentral:lncRNA from 12 species